AGUCUUCUGUAUCCGUGCUGAGAUAUCGUCACACACCAGACCACAAGGACUGAUGAGACUUCCAAGAUAAGUGAAGCG
rfam:Schistosoma curassoni strain Dakar, Senegal genome assembly, scaffold: SCTD_scaffold0004427